UCUCUGCAUUGAGCAGAUUUACAAAAGAAUCUCUGCGUGAAAGUAAUCAAUAAUACUUACAAUAGGAUUGGCCAAAUGUGCCACUGUAGAUUGCAUAUUUGGGUUUUCCCUACUCCUGUUCACCGUUCCAAAUUUCCUUCCGUGCCGAUUCCCUUUUUCUCGUUUGUCUACUCCUGUUCACCGUUCCAAAUUCCCUUCCAUGCCGAUUCCCUUUUUCUCUUUUGUUCUGCUGCGUGGGGGUUUCGUGUAGUGGGAAGCUUUGUUUCUUGCAUUGUUACUUUCCCAAAAUUUAUCAUUCCUUUUCCUGUUUUGUUUUGAUACAUUUAAUGCCUUUUCGAUUUCCUUUUUGAUCUCCUUUUCAAUUUCCUUUGUCUUCUUUCGCGUUCAAUUUGCUACAUGGAUGGGUUUGGGUAAGCUUUUCGCCCACUUGCUUGUUUUACGUUCGUCUGGAUUCAGCGGAAAGGUAUUUGUCGGAAUACUUUCCAUUUUGUGUCGGAUGCAGGCGGAAAGGGAUUUGGCAGAAGGUUUGCUUUUGUGCUUGAUUUGUCUCGUUUCCAAUUUGUUUUGCCCAUAUGUAACGGUUUUGAUUUCUUUCUCCUUCAUUCCGUCUCGCUCUCUCUUUUGUGGUGGUUGUUCUUUUUCGUUUUUGUAUUCUCUCAAAUGGCUGGUAGGUUUGAUUUCUUCAUUAAUCUAAAUCCCAAUUGAAUAUUGAUUGUUUUUCCCCUGUUUCAUUCUACAGGUUCUUGCCAGAUUUGUUUCAUUGGUUUGUUAUGACCUGAUUUGUUCUUCAUAUUUAUUUUAUUUCUAAUUUUUACAGUUUUAUUGUGUGUUCAUUACUCUCAUAUUUCUUCAUGUUUGCCCUGUUUUUGCAGAGGAGUUUAUGUCCGACCUAUUUGUGCAUACAAGGUGAGUUUUGCUUAACAACCAUUCUCUUUUAAGGUUGCUGUUUUGAUUGUUUUUAUCAUGUGAUCAAAGCAUUCUUACCAUACUUUAGAAUUUGUCAACCCUGUUUUCUUAAUUUUUACAGAUUAACUUUCGUUUCAGACUGCAGUUAACAGUAUGUUUCUUAAUCAUGUUUUCAUUUUGUUCAUAGUAUUCAUAUUUGUGGAAUAUUUAUUUACUUUCAUACAUCUUUUGCAUGACUUGUUUGUGCAGUUGAUUCAAAUUUGUUCUUUCUGUAGCCUUUCUAUUUUGUGUUGGUUGGUUUGUGUUUCUUUUUUUAUUUUUUCCAGUGACGAUCGAGUUGUGCUUUUGCCUCCGAUGAACGGUUGUGGCAGCGACGAGUCUCUUCCUUCCGGCGACAGCCGAUUGUGUAUAUUUAUUUGUCACCAUGUUGACUGAACGGGCUAAAAGUAAGGAAAACUCAGUUGUGUGUUCCCCUUCCAGGGAAGCUUACAAGAAUUUACUUGCAAAAUCCUUAAAUAUGAAGAUUGAUGCAAGUUCUUGUCCUGGCUCUUAAGAAAAUAAAACUACCACUGCCAGAAUGAACAACUUUAAAGAAUAUUGCACACACUAAUCAACUGAGGAGUCGAGAAGGAGAUGUCGAACGGACUCUAAAGACGGUCGAAACAGGAGUAGGUGGCAGGCAACCACACUGCUAAAGUGAGAAUUCUAAUCUAUAUCUCAAGUUUGUGGAGUAAAUGCUGUUUGGUUCUCAAUGUAGGCAUAUUCAGAAAUAUUUUUGCCUUUUCAUUGAUCAAAGUAUGCUUUUUAUUCCGGAAUUAGAAGUCUGGACUAAACCCAAUAGUGAAAAAUAUCACCCAAUGUAUAGAUCUUCUCUAAACUAUUUUAAAGAAAAUUAGCUCUUCCCAUUUUCUUUGGUAACUAGAGUGGCCUUUUUGGUUAAAGAUAAACAGCUUCUACACAGUAUAUGAUGGUGCAUGCAUCUUUUUUUCCGAAUAUGACAUUGUAUACUAUUGUACUGUUGCACUUUCUAUAUGAUGCAUUAGCAAUUAUCUAAAUCUUGCAAGCCUUAAAAAGAUAGGCAAUCGUUCCUUCAUUAUUUUGCAGAAGUACCACUUGAAUCAUCACUACCGGGUCCAGAUCCUUGGCUUUGGCAUCACGUCACCAUUCUGGGAUAAGGUUUUUGGAACGGUUCCCCCUCCAUCAAAGGUGGAUGCCAAGCGUAGAAGUAACGGUUGAGCCUGCAUUUGUUCAUUGGUUAAUUAUAGCAGAUUGAGGAGUUUAGACAAAAAAAAGUUGAUGGCAAUUAGGAAGAAGGCAGAAGGAACAUUGACUACACAGUUGAUGGCAAUUAGCAAGAAGGCAGCCGCUACUGCUAAUUGUUGAGCUUAAACAAGCAGCAUACCUAUGUGAUGGGAAUUCGUUGAUAGUAUGAAAGGAAACACAAAAUUGUAUGUUUGAAUUGGUGACGAGUUUGGAUAAAUUACAGUGACACUGCGGUUUCAUUUAAACUUUAAUGUGUAGUUUUUGCUAAAAUCAGAAUGAGUUACCGGUGAUUCUUCCAAACUUCGCUUCAAUACAAACAUACACACAGUGACAACAUUGACUACCGGUGUAGUUUUUGUAUGAUAUUUAACAUCUUUUCCAUUCAAUGUGAAACUCUUACUUAGA